CCUACGGGAGGCAGCAGUGGGGAAUAUUGGACAAUGGGCGAAAGCCUGAUCCAGCAAUGCCGCGUGAGUGAUGAAGGCCUUAGGGUUGUAAAGCUCUUUUACCAGGGAUGAUAAUGACAGUACCUGGAGAAUAAGCUCCGGCUAACUCCGUGCCAGCAGCCGCGGUAAUACGGAGGGAGCUAGCGUUGUUCGGAAUUACUGGGCGUAAAGCGUACGUAGGCGGUUAUUCAAGUCAGAGGUGAAAGCCCGGGGCUCAACCCCGGAACUGCCUUUGAAACUAGAUAGCUAGAAUCUUGGAGAGGUUAGUGGAAUUCCGAGUGUAGAGGUGAAAUUCGUAGAUAUUCGGAAGAACACCAGUGGCGAAGGCGACUAACUGGACAAGUAUUGACGCUGAGGUACGAAAGCGUGGGGAGCAAACAGGAUUAGAUACCCUGGUAGUCCACGCCGUAAACGAUGAUAACUAGUUGUUCGGGCACUUGGUGCCUGAGUGACGCAGCUAACGCAUUAAGUUAUCCGCCUGGGGAGUACGGUCGCAAGAUUAAAACUCAAAGUAUAUAGGACGUGNGAGAGCGACGACGACGACGACGGAGGAG
rnacentral:rRNA from 1 species